UGGGUGCUGUCUGUGCCAGGUGUUCAGGGGGCGUGUGGAUGCUGUGCCAGGUGUUCAGGGCGUGUGGAUGCUGUCCAAAAUACAUUAAGAUUAAGUGGAGGAAGAGGUUUUGAAUGCACUCCUGUGUUCUCAUUGCGUUUGAAAUGAUUCUUUAACUGAGCAGGGUCGAUGGAGUCGCUGCCAACUGGUGCUCUAGCUGCCCAGGACAGGAUUUGGACCCUGUCCACAGCGAGCUCCAUGGGCCUCACGGGCCACUCAACCACUCAGUGCUUUGUAGUGCUAUCUUCCCCCGGAUCUUGCACAGGAUUAUGAGAAGUGCUUUAAUCCCGGUGUCUUUAGUUAUGGCAGGGUCAUUAGUGAGAGAUGUAAUGGCUAAUACUGAGGCUAAAGGCAACUUAAGCAUUCCCCAGUAGCAAAGUGAUAUAUUUUUUUUAAAUGGGCAGUUUAAGAACACAUAAGUGCAUUCAAUCCUCUUCAUCAAAGUGUCCUAAGGUAGGCCUCUGUACUGAUGAAAGCUUCCCUAAUCAUUUAUUUAUUUGAAUUGUUCUGAUGUUGUUGCUAAACAAAGUUAAAACAGGUGAUGUAGCUCCUUCUAUGUGGGCCACAGGAAACAGAUACAUACACUAGAAUGACUGUACAUUAUAGUCAGUGGACCACAGGCAAAGGAAUUACAGGAACUGUACAGCAAUGCUAAGAUAGCUGAUCAAUGCUCUGACUUAAAUAGUCAAUAAACUGAUAUUCUGUGCGUUAACGUAAUUUCUCUUUGUCCUUGGGAUUAUAAAGAGUUUAAUAAAUCCUUUGAACCGCCUCGUUUAGCCCCAUUUACCUAGCGUCUAAUCCCCUAAAGACACGAGACUCCCAUUUACCAGAGCAACUCACCAUCACAACCAACCCAUCAUCAUUAUCCAAUCCAUAAAUGCAUGUGAUGUCCAUCAUGUCUAAUCUUUACUCCCCUCAGUCCUUUUUUUCUUCCAGUCUUUGUCUAUUUCUCUCUCUUUUUCACUCUCUCUCUC